UUGGUUAAGCUAUUAAGAGCACACGGAGGAUGCCUAGGCGCUAGGAGCCGAUGAAGGACGUGGCGAACAACGAUACUGCCUCGGGGAGCUGU
rnacentral:rRNA from 1 species